GACGAACGCUGGCGGCGUGCUUAACACAUGCAAGUCGAACGGUGAACUCCGCUUGCGGGGGGAUCAGUGGCGAACGGGUGAGUAACACGUGGGCAACCUGCCCUCAGCUCUGGGAUAACUCCAAGAAAUUGGGGCUAAUACCGGAUAUGACCGCUGACCGCAUGGUCUGGUGGUGGAAAGAUUUAUCGGCUGGGGAUGGUCCCGCGGCCUAUCAGCUUGUUGGUGGGGUAGUGGCCUACCAAGGCGACGACGGGUAGCCGGCCUGAGAGGGUGACCGGCCACACUGGGACUGAGACACGGCCCAGACUCCUACGGGAGGCAGCAGUGGGGAAUAUUGCGCAAUGGGCGAAAGCCUGACGCAGCGACGCCGCGUGGGGGAUGACGGCCUUCGGGUUGUAAACCUCUUUCAGCAGGGACGAAGCGAAAGUGACGGUACCUGCAGAAGAAGCACCGGCCAACUACGUG
rnacentral:rRNA from 1 species